GGCUCAGGACGAACGCUGGCGGCAUGCCUAAUACAUGCAAGUCGAGCGGAGUWWGAAUGGAAGCUUGCUUCCAUUCUUACUUAGCGGCGGACGGGUGAGUAACACGUAGGCAACCUGCCCUCAAGACUGGGAUAACUACCGGAAACGGUAGCUAAUACCGGAUAAUUUCUUUCCUCUCCUGAAGAGAGAAUGAAAGGCGGAGCAAUCUGCCACUUGGGGAUGGGCCUGCGGCGCAUUAGCUAGUUGGUGGGGUAACGGCUCACCAAGGCGACGAUGCGUAGCCGACCUGAGAGGGUGAACGGCCACACUGGGACUGAGACACGGCCCAGACUCCUACGGGAGGCAGCAGUAGGGAAUCUUCCGCAAUGGGCGAAAGCCUGACGGAGCAAUGCCGCGUGAGUGAUGAAGGUUUUCGGAUCGUAAAGCUCUGUUGCCAGGGAAGAACGUCCGGUAGAGUAACUGCUACCGGAGU
rnacentral:rRNA from 1 species